rnacentral:sRNA from 1 species
GUAGAAUCCAUCUAAGUAGCCU